rnacentral:rRNA from 1 species
GAUGAACGCUAGCUACAGGCUUAACACAUGCAAGUCGAGGGGCAUCAGGAAGAAAGCUUGCUUUCUUUGCUGGCGACCGGCGCACGGGUGAGUAACGCGUGGGCAACCUGCCUCAUACAGGGGGAUAACAGUUAGAAAUGACUGCUAAUACCGCAUAAGACCACAGUACCGCAUGGUAUAGUGGUAAAAACUCCGGUGGUAUGAGAUGGGCCCGCGUCUGAUUAGGUAGUUGGUGGGGUAACGGCCUACCAAGCCGACGAUCAGUAGCCGACCUGAGAGGGUGACCGGGCCACAUUGGGACUGAGACACGGGCCCAAACUCCUACGGGAGGCAGCAGUGGGGAAUAUUGCACAAUGGGGGAAACCCUGAUGCAGCGACGCCGCGUGAAGGAUGAAGUAUUUC